UCGGAUGGCGAUUCCAGUUUUAAAACCCAGGGGGCACGAGUCUCUCAAGGACGUUAUUAGUAGUAUCCAAACUGAUAUUGUAGUGUCUUGAGGACUUGAAGGCGAAGGAAAGCUACCAGGAGAUGAAGAGAUUCGAUUUCAGGUCUUUUGAGGAUUGAGUUUUUGGAUAACAACAAUUGGAGACGUAAUCAAGUGGAUUCUAGCAUGGAUAGCGGAGAUUGGAGAAGCGAACUUCUACCUCAUACUCGGCAGAGGAUUGUGAAAAAAAUAGUGGAGACUUUUAAGAGGAACCUUCCAAUUUCUGGCCCAGAAGGGUUAGAAGAAUCUAAGAGAAAUGCUGCAAGGUUUGAGGAGAAGAUUUAUACUGCUGCAGCAAGCCAGGCAGACUAUCUACGGAAGAUAUCUCUAAAGGUGAUGGCAAUGGAGGUUAGAAACCCUCAGACUCCCAGUGGUCCUGCUUCCUUACCAUCAAACCCUGCUUUUGGUAACCAAAAUCCACAAGAUUUAGUUGUUGUUAGAGAUUAAUGUAUGGAUUACAACAAUUUGAGAACUAAUCAAGAGGAUCUUAGCAUGGAUACCAGCGAUUGGAGAAGCCAACUUCAACCUGGUACUCGGCAGGAAAUUUUGAAUAGAAUUUGCCCCUUUGGCAUUUUGUUAAUUUAAUCAUAUAUUCAGUCAUUUCUACACUUCCGAGCAUCUGGUAAGACUGGAGACUUUGAGGGGGAACCUUCCAAUUUCUGGUCCAGAAGGGUUACAAGAAAUUUGGAAAAUCUGUCAGAUUUGAGGAGGAGAUUUAUACCGCUGCGGCAAGCCAGACAGACUAUCUACAGAAGAUAUCUCAAAAGAUGCUGCCAAUGGAGACAAAAUCUGACUCCUGGUGGUCCUGGUUCCUUACUGUCAAUCCCUGCUGUUGGUAACCAAAAUCUGCCAGAUCCAGGUAUGAUUUGGAGUAUAGUUGUCAAAGGGGUCCACUAGGCGCUGCCUUGGCAUCUAGGCUCUUUCUUGGGUCUAAGGCAACGACACGUCUUGUUGACACUUUACGAGUUUAUGCUGAUUUAUGUUUAUUGUUUUGUUUUUUGAUGAAUAUGCUUACAUUUUGCCCUAUGCUUUGUUUAUUAUUUUUUGGUUUUCUCAUAUUAGGUCAUUACUGGCAUAAAUAUCUCAUAUUGCAUUGAUAUGGAUUCUUUGUUGCAUAUAAGAAUAUUUAUAGAAAAUUAUCAUUGCUAUAUCACAAAUAAGAAAACCUUACGUGUCAUGACCAGGAUUGACCAGGCCGAGUGACCAGAUUUUUUAUAGGACGAGUCGAUUCGGAAAACCUGGUUUGCUAACAAUGGUUGGAUCUUCUUUCAGUUUUUUGCAGUUUCAUUUGGUGGGCAUGCUAUAUAUAAAUUGCUAACCAAACAUUGGCUCAACUCAAUAUUUUAGUAUUUAUUAUUAUUUUGUGAUGCUGGUUAUUGUUGCCAUAAGGAUUAUCUUUUGAUAAUCUCCUCUGUUUUAUUUGUCCACGUGUAGUCUACACGUGAGAGGGAGAUUGGAGUUAUCGUCUGAUAUUUGAAGAUUAUUAUUGUUAUCUACAAUUGUCAUCAGCUGAAGAUUUAUUAUUUCCUUGUUCGUGUUAUUUACUCGUGUCCUUAGCAACAAUUUUAUCUUAUAAAGAUGGUUACUUGUUUGCAGAAACAAGAUUAUUAUCAGUUGUUCGCAGCAACCUAUGCUACAUUUUAUAGUUGUUCUUAGCAACCUUCUGUUGUUACUUGUGGUUCCCAGCAACCUAUGCUGCAUUUUAUCAGCGGUUCGCUUCAACCUAUGCUGCUUUUUUACCAGUGGUUCGCAGCAAUCUAUGCUGCACUUUUAUCUAUUCUUCUUUGUGAAGAUUAUUACUUGCCUUCCUUGAGAAGGGCUUAUGACGUUGUUGUUGCUAUGACAUUUUGGAUUGUGGUUGGUAUUAUUUGUCGCUUAUUUUGUUUGUUGCUGUUUGGAUUUAUUCGACACAGAUUUUUCUCUACUAUUGGUGCUGAUGUUUGGUGUGCUUGAGCUGGUAUUGCUUCUAAAAUGAAGUUCUCUAUGUGCUCAUUUGCAUCUACGACAGGUUGACAGCUAUAUAUGUUUAAGACUGGAGCCUUUGAGAUAUAUAUAUAUAUAUAUAUAUAUACAUGCAUACUCCAACUUGGGGAGGAGUGUUAAAGUGUAUCGUGUGGUAUUGUGUACCAUGGAUAGUGAGAUAAUGUUGAGUUAUAGUUUACUUUUAGUUAUUUAUCUUUUUUGUAAUUAGACUUAGACUUGGUUAUUACUGUCUAUUGUACUUACCAAAAAUAGUGUUGUACCUGCUUACAAGAAACCUGAUCAUUAAUGUUCUUAGUUCAAAUAGGCCUAAGAAACCUGUUUCCUCACAAAUGCCAGGACAACAGCAACAGCUGGAGCAGCUGCAGCAACAGUUGGAGCAGCAGCAGCAGAGGUUGCUAGCCCGAGCCCUGGAGAAUAAUCUGUCAAACACGCAGCAGCAGUUAGGUUCACAAGGUAAUGUUUCUGAGCUACACCAGCAGCAUCAUUAUCAGCAUCGCUCAAUCUGGUAUUUCAAACAUCCAUCCGAAUCAGCACACAUUGCAUAUGUUACAUGCUAAGGUUGCAGUGCAGCAGCAACAAGCCCAGCAAACAUUAUCAACCUUGUUACCAACAUAAGGGCAACAAUCACAAUCACUUUUUUAGCAGCAGCAAAUGAUGUCUCAGCUCCAAUCGCAACCUGGUCAACUGCAACAACAGCUUCAUUACAACAAGAUUUGCGACAAAGGAUUCAAAGUUCAGGUGGCUUGGUUCAGCCUCAGAAUGUUGUUCAGCAAUUUUUGUUUCUUUAUUUAUUUAUCCCUCCAAAAGAACAAUGGACCCAGCUUCACAGAGCAGCUCUCUCUCCAUCCCACAACAUAAUGUUGAAUCUGGAUUGACUGUGUAGUCUUACUAUUUGAAUCAAAUCAUUUUUCUUGGGAACAUGGCUGUUACAUUUGCACUGGGAAUUCUCUUCCCUUGUAGAUGUAAAUUAUUUUUCUGUUCAUUGACAUGGAACUUCCACUGAAGUCUGUUUUAUUUCCAGGUGAAAACUUAUGUACAAGUACACAAGGAAAAGUUUCAGGUAAAUCUCAUGGUUCGACGGACUUUAUCUGAAACUUUUCCUUUUACUUGGUUUUAACCUGGAAAUGAAUGGGGUGUCAAAUGCAAGAGCAGGUCCUCCAAAACCAUAAGAUUGCCAUGAAAACACAGCACAAGAACUGAGAGCUUAUGUACAAGGAAAAGUUUCGGGUAAAUCUCAUGGUUCCAUGGACUUUACCUGAAAUUUUUCCUUUUACUUGGUUUUUACCUGGAAAUAAAUGGAGCCUGAAUGAGAGAAUCAAAAUGCAAGAAGCAGUUUUUCCAAAACCAUAAGAUUGCCUUGAAGUGGGGUAUGGCUGUGUACAUUAUGAUCUUCUACAGACCCCACAGUGGUAGAAUCCUCGUGCACUAGGUAUGCCCUUUUUAUAAGAAUGCCUCGAAAACACAGCACAAAAACCAUUAAGAUGCUUAACUUUUAUUAUUGAUGGAAUAGCAGGCGUAGUCUAAUUUAGCACUAUAAGAAUUUUGCUUCUAGGAGAAAUUUCCAUAUCUAAUGCAGGGUUUAUUGACUAAUCUUUAUUUAUCUUCUUUUGCCGGUUUUCAGCAGCAAUAGAUUCUACAGCUCAGACAGGACUAAUUUGUGAUUAGCAAGAAGAGGUCUAUCAAAAGGGGGUUUCCCAGUGUGCUUUUUUUUCUUUCUGUUCAUUAUAUAUUUUCUCAAUUGUCUCUAUCAAAUUCCGUGAUUCUGUCAUAUAUGAAGUCUAACGUCUUUGCUAAUUCCUGCUUCUACCUUCCCCUCUCUCGCAGUUGGGAUUUAUGGAUUGUGUGCCUAUAUUCAUAUGUAGUUGCACGGUUAUAUUUGUUGGGUCUUAAUCUUUUUAGCCAUCAUUCUUUGUUCUGUUUGAAAAGCGAGCCUUGUUGUGCACUGCGCACUGCACACUGCACACUGCACACUGCACACUGCGCACUCACAAUUGUUUUCUUUUUCUUUAGUCCUUUUAACGCUGCUGGUAAGAAAAGGCUCUUUGAACAGCAGUUUGGAACAGGGAACCUCUUUAACGGUUGAGUAUUCAGGCUUGCUUUGAGUCAGUAAGGGGUGGCAUUUGAUGUCACCCCAGCAGCAUCAUCCACUCAAAUCCACUUUUUGAGUGGACUACUACAAUGACUUUGCUGAGUACUCAUGGGGUACUUAGUACUUGUGAUCUCUCUGGCACUGUGACAGUGGGUGAGGAUGAUGAAGCCGGUGUUGGUUCUGUCUCAGCAGAGUGCCAACGUGGAUGGGACGCUGGGGACGGUGCCCCUUCCUCUUCUUGCCCGAAUGGGGCUAAUCACUCCAACAGCAAACGAAAUCUCUGGGCGAGAUCUGACUCGACUAAGGAAAGAUCUACUCUGAAAGAUCAGAGAGAGCAGAAAAAAAGAGCCAAAAGCCGCGAUUCUCCUCAUAAGAUCGUGGACGGGCUGACAGUUUUGCCACAUGGAGCGAUAUGCUUUACAACAUCGCUGAUUCAGUGAAUGUGUCUUAUAAAUCGCUGAUGCUCCAAAAGUGUUGGAUAUAUCAUUGAUUCAUUGGAAGAAGAGUCAAAAGUUCUAUUUUUGUUCCAAGGAGUCUAAAUGAAAUUAGGGGACUUGAAUCUCAAAGUGCAAAACCUUUGUGAAGUGGCGGCGACUGCAAUUAGGUGUGGUUUUCAGUGGGUUGCACCCGUGGUUUCUCCUUUACGUGCUCUAUCCUUUAAAACACCUGGAUGAGCAAGAAAUGAUUCAGGCAGAUAGUGUUAACUUUCUUUCCUCUUCUUGUUACACAUUUUCUGAUCUGCACUUAAAUAUGUGGCCUUUUUAUAUUGGAUUUGCAGAUUAAGGCAAUGAAGGAAAUGUACUUACCAGAACUCAAUGAAUUAUACCAAAAGGUUGCUGUCAAAUUUGAGUUGCAGCCACCAGAGCCAAUCCAAAUUGAUCGAGUCAAAUUUUUCAAGCAUUUGAUGCAGCGCACAAUCAAUUUUUUACUAUUGUCCAAAGACAAUGUCGUACCUGCUUACAAGGACAAGCUGCCCUCAUAUGAGAAGCAGAUCCUUAGUAUUCUUAAUUAAAAGAGGCCUACGAAACAUGUUUUUUUCACACUCCGUGCAGCAGCAGCAACAGCUACGGUCACAACAAUAGCAACCACAGCAGCCUGUGACGAACAAGGCAGAAGCACAUUUUCAAGUGAAAAGUGACCUUCAAAGCUGCUCUCUCCACAGGGAACAAACGGAAGCUCAUUGAUUUCUUGGCGGUGGAAUUACCGAUCAAGAUAUCGAUAGUUAAGUUCAAGAUGUAGAUCAUCAGAAGAUGGGGGGUGUUGCAAACGAGUAUGAUCUAUGAUGAGGUUCAGCACAUGAUUACUUCUGUGCUACAAUCUGAGGUCUGCGGAAGUGGGCCCACUUAGCCACCAAUGAAAAUGAAACCAGAUUACGGUUACAUCUAAAAAUGGUUGGACUCUUUGGUCCCUUUAUUCAUUUCAUUCAUCCAUUCAUGUCGGUGUCAGUAGUGAGUCGGCUCAAAGCUGAGAAGUCAGUCAGUGGGAUUCAGUCAUUGAUUGGCUGUGAAAUUUUUACAUCACUGAGAGCUGUGAGAGGAAAAUCCAGAGAACCAUAUAAGUGAACAAAGUCAUAAUUCACAAACAACAGCAGACAGGCACGGACAAAAGCUGCGAACAGUAUUCUCCUUUCCCUUUCUCCUUGGUGAUAUGAGAUUCGAAGAAUAGCAGAGGUCCCCAUAAGCCCCAUCAAUACAUUUAUAUGGAUUUCUUUCGUACCCUUAUCCCAAGUCCUAAAACCUGCAAACAAAAUUAGAACUGUGGGAGGACCCAACGUAGAGUUGCUAAGCUUGUGUGUUUGAAUCUACUUACAUUGUAUAUAUGUUAGUGUGAGAGAGGUAGUAGAGGUACUGUUUUU